rnacentral:rRNA from 1 species
GCGAGCGGCGGACGGGUGAGUAACACGUGGGUAACCUGCCCAAGAGACUGGGAUAACACCUGGAAACAGAUGCUAAUACCGGAUAACAACACUAGACGCAUGUCUAGAGUUUGAAAGAUGGUUCUGCUAUCACUCUUGGAUGGACCUGCGGUGCAUUAGCUAGUUGGUAAGGUAACGGCUUACCAAGGCAAUGAUGCAUAGCCGAGUUGAGAGACUGAUCGGCCACAUUGGGACUGAGACACGGCCCAAACUCCUACGGGAGGCAGCAGUAGGGAAUCUUCCACAAUGGACGAAAGUCUGAUGGAGCAACGCCGCGUGAGUGAAGAAGGGUUUCGGCUCGUAAAGCUCUGUUGGUAGUGAAGAAAGAUAGAGGUAGUAACUGGCCUUUAUUUGACGGUAAUUACUUAGAAAGUCACGGCUAACUACGUGCCAGCAGCCGCGGUAAUACGUAGGUGGCAAGCGUUGUCCGGAUUUAUUGGGCGUAAAGCGAGUGCAGGCGGUUCAAUAAGUCUGAUGUGAAAGCCUUCGGCUCAACCGGAGAAUUGCAUCAGAAACUGUUGAACUUGAGUGCAGAAGAGGAGAGUGGAACUCCAUGUGUAGCGGUGGAAUGCGUAGAUAUAUGGAAGAACACCAGUGGCGAAGGCGGCUCUCUGGUCUGCAACUGACGCUGAGGCUCGAAAGCAUGGGUAGCGAAACAGGAUUAGAUACCCUGGUAGUCCAUGCCGUAAA